rnacentral:rRNA from 1 species
UCGAAGGUAGCAUAAUCAGUAGUCUUUUAAUUGAAGGCUUGUAUGAAUGGUUGGACGAAAUAUUAGCUGUUUCAUUUAAAUUUUUAUUAGAAUUUUAUUUUUUAGUUAAAAAGCUAAAAUAUUGUUAAAAGACGAGAAGACCCUAUAAAGCUUAAUAUUUUUAUUAUUUUAUUAAUUUAGUUUAAUUUUAUUAAAUUAUUAUAAAAGUAUUUUAUUGGGGUGAUAUUAAAAUUUAUAAAACUUUUAAUUUAAAAUAAACCAUUUAUUUAUGAUUAAAUGAUCCAUUUUUAAUGAUUAUAAAUUUAAGUUACUUUAGGGAUAACAGCGUAAUUUUUUUGUAGAGUUCUUAUCGAUAAAAAAUAUUGCGACCUCGAUGUUGGAUUAA